GAUCAUGGCUCAGAUUGAACGCUGGCGGCAUGCCUUACACAUGCAAGUCGAACGGCAGCACGGGGCAACCUGGGUGGCGAGUGGCGAACGGGUGAGUAAUGCAUCGGAACGUGCCAUUGAGUGGGGGGUAACGUAGCGAAAGUUACGCUAAUACCGCAUAUUCUGUGAGCAGGAAAGCAGGGGAUCGCAAGACCUUGCGCUCUUUGAGCGGCCGAUGUCAGAUUAGCUAGUUGGUGAGGUAACGGCUUACCAAGGCGACGAUCUGUAGCGGGGUCUGAGAGGAUGAUCCGCCACACUGGAACUGAGACACGGUCCAGACUCCUACGGGAGGCAGCAGUGGGGAAUUUUGGACAAUGGGGGCAACCCUGAUCCAGCCAUGCCGCGUGAGUGAAGAAGGCCUUCGGGUUGUAAAGCUCUUUCGGCCGGGAAGAAAUCGCAUGGGUUAAUACCCUGUGUGGAUGACGGUACCGGCAUAAGAAGCACCGGCUAACUACGUG
rnacentral:rRNA from 1 species